rnacentral:rRNA from 1 species
AUACGUAGGGGACGAGCGUUGUCCGGAAUUACUGGGCGUAAAGGGCGCGCAGGCGGAUAUUUAAGUCAGCUGUAAAAGGCAUGAGCUCAACUCAUGUAUGCGGUUGAAACUGGGUAUCUAGAGUGCUGGAGAGGUAGGCGGAAUUUCCGGUGUAGCGGUGAAAUGCGUAGAUAUCGGGAAGAACACCAGUGGCGAAGGCGGCUUACUGGCCAGCAACUGACGCUGAGGCGCGAAAGCCAGGGGAGCGAACGGGAUUAGAUACCCCGGUAGUCCUGGCCGUAAACGAUGAAUGCUAGGUGUGGGUGUCGAGAGGCAUCCGUGCCGGAGUUAACGCGAUAAGCAUUCCGCCUGGGGAGUACGAUCGCAAGAUUGAAACUCAAAGGAAUUGGCGGGG